AGCGAACGCUGGCGGCAGGCCUAACACAUGCAAGUCGAACGAACCUUUCGGGGUUAGUGGCGGACGGGUGAGUAACACGUGGGAACGUGCCUUUAGGUUCGGAAUAACUCAGGGAAACUUGUGCUAAUACCGAAUGUGCCCUUCGGGGGAAAGAUUAAUCGCCUUUAGAGCGGCCCGCGUCCGAUUAGCUAGUUGGUUGAGGUAAUGGCUCACCAAGGCGACGAUCAGUAGCUGGUCUGAGAGAAUGAUCAGCCACAUUGGGACUGAGACACGGCCCAAACUCCUACGGGAGGCAGCAGUGGGGAAUCUUGCGCAAUGGGCGAAAGCCUGACGCAGCCAUGCCGCGUGAAUGAUGAAGGUCUUAGGAUUGUAAAAUUCUUUCACCGGGGACGAUAAUGACGGUACCCGGAGAAGAAGCCCCGGCUAACUUCGUG
rnacentral:rRNA from 1 species